CCGACGGGCGUAUAGCGCGUACAGCGGCGAGUGAGCGGCAAAAGCUCAAAUUUGAAAUCCUGCGGGAAUUGUAAUUUGAAGGUUUCGUGGUCUGAGUCGGCCGCGCCCAAGUCCAUUGGAACAUGGCGCCUGGGAGGGUGAGAGCCCCGUAUGGCGCACGCCGACUCUUUGUACACCGCGGCUCCGACGAGUCGAGUUGUUUGGGAAUGCAGCUCUAAGUGGGUGGUAAAUUCCAUCUAAAGCUAAAUAUUGGCGAGAGACCGAUAGCGAACAAGUACAGUGAUGGAAAGAUGAAAAGCACUUUGAAAAGAGAGUGAAACAGCACGUGAAAUUGUUGAAAGGGAAGGGCUUGCAAGCAGACACGGUUUUACCGGGCCAGCGUCGAAAAGGGGGGAGGAACAAGAACUCGAGAAUGUGGCGCGCACCUUCGGGCGCGCGUGUUAUAGCUCGUGUUGACGCCUCCAUCCCUUUUCGAGGCCUGCGAUUCUAGGACGCUGGCGUAAUGGUUGCAAGCCGCCCGUCUUGAACACCGGACCA
rnacentral:rRNA from 1 species